GGAGAGGUGGCAGAGCGGUUGAAUGCGCCGGUCUCGAAAACCGGUUAGGGCCUUUCGGUCCUACGGGGGUUCGAAUCCCCCCCUCUCCG
rnacentral:tRNA from 1 species